rnacentral:rRNA from 1 species
UACGUAGGGUGCGAGCGUUGUCCGGAAUUAUUGGGCGUAAAGAGCUUGUAGGUGGUUUGUCGCGUCUGCCGUGAAAGUCCGGGGCUCAACCCCGGAUCUGCGGUGGGUACGGGCAGACUAGAGUGAUGUAGGGGAGACUGGAAUUCCUGGUGUAGCGGUGAAAUGCGCAGAUAUCAGGAGGAACACCGAUGGCGAAGGCAGGUCUCUGGGCAUUAACUGACGCUGAGGAGCGAAAGCAUGGGGAGCGAACAGG